UAAUAGUCUGGGAAACGUGCCUGAUGGAGGGGGAUAACUAACUGGAAACGGUAGCUAAUACCGCAUAAUGUCGCAAGACCAAAGUGGGGGACCUUCGGGCCUCAUGCCAUCAGAUGUGCCCAGAUGGGAUUAGCUAGUAGGUGGGGUAACGGCUCACCUAGGCGACGAUCCCUAGCUGGUCUGAGAGGAUGACCAGCCACACUGGAACUGAGACACGGUCCAG
rnacentral:rRNA from 1 species